rnacentral:lncRNA from 1 species
UCUGCCCUAUAGCAUGCAUCUGUCUAUUGGAGCUGGUUAGUAUGUCUAGGUAAUCGAGUCAAACUUGGCUUUUUUUAAAUGUAGCACGUAGUAAAACUGCAUAAACCUAAUGUCAAGUUAAAGUGUAUUGUUAGCUAGCUAACGUUAGCUGGCUGGCUCGCUAGUUGCUAACGUUAUGUGUAUGCGCUCCACUUUCUGGAGGACCGAGUUUUGAAAUCAGUGGAAUUCGAGUAUGAUAGCUAAGGAGAUGGAGAAAACACCAGUCUGGAUUACAUCAUCAAACUAAGGGCAACCAUGCAUGGCAUCAGACAGGAGACGCGUCCAACCAUGAUGUAUACUGCCCUGCCACAAAAGGACCAGCUGACAUCAUGCCAGUGAUUCUCUCGUUAACACAGGUGUGAGUGUUGACGAGGACAAGGCUGGAGAUCACUCUGUCAUGCUGAUUGAGUUCGAAUAACAGACUGGAAGCUUCGAAAGGAGGGUGGUGCUUGGAAUCAUUGUUCUUCCUCUGUCAACCAUGGUUACCUGCUAGGAAACACGUGCCAUCAUCAUUGCUUUGCAC